rnacentral:tRNA from 1 species
GCUGUGAUGGCCAAGGGUUGAAGGAAGGAAGUGGACUCAAAAUCCAAUAAAGUACCUCUGUGCAGUUUGAAAUCCUGCUCACAGUG